rnacentral:rRNA from 1 species
UACGUAGGGUGCAAGCGUUAAUCGGAAUUACUGGGCGUAAAGCGUGCGCAGGCGGUUUUGUAAGUCUGUCGUGAAAUCCCCCGGGCUCAACCUGGGAAUUGCGAUGGAGACUGCAAGGCUAGAAUCUGGCAGAGGGGGGGUAGAAUUCCACGUGUAGCAGUGAAAUGCGUAGAGAUGUGGAGGAACACCGAUGGCGAAGGCAGCCCCCUGGGUCAAGAUUGACGCUCAUGCACGAAAGCGUGGGGAGCAAACAGGG